AUACGGAGGGUGCAAGCGUUAAUCGGAAUUACUGGGCGUAAAGCGCUCGUAGGCGGCUUGUUAAGUCGGAUGUGAAAGCCCCGGGCUCAACCUGGGAACUGCAUUCGAUACUGGCAAGCUAGAGUAUAGUAGAGGCAAGUGGAAUUCCGGGUGUAGCGGUGAAAUGCGUAGAUAUCCGGAGGAACAUCAGUGGCGAAGGCGACUUGCUGGACUAAUACUGACGCUGAGGAGCGAAAGCGUGGGGAGCAAACAGGAUUAGAAACCCCGGUAGCCC
rnacentral:rRNA from 1 species